rnacentral:rRNA from 1 species
CUACGGGGUGCUCCAGUAGGGAAUAUUGGGCAAUGGGCGCAAGCCUGACCCAGCAACGCCGCGUGCGCGAAGAAGGCCUUCGGGUCGUAAAGCGCUUUUCUGAGGGAUGAGAAAGGACAGUACCUCAGGAAUAAGCCUCGGCUAACUACGUGCCAGCAGCCGCGGUAAAACGUAGGAGGCGAGCGUUAUCCGGAUUUACUGGGCGUAAAGCGUGUGCAGGCGGUCUGGCAAGUUGGAUGUGAAAGCUCCCGGCUCAACUGGGGGAGGUCGUUCAAAACUACCGGACUAGAGUGUAUCAGAGGGAGAUGGAAUUCCCGGUGUAGUGGUGAAAUGCGUAGAUAUCGGGAGGAACACCAGUGGCGAAAGCGAUCUUCUGGGAUACUACUGACGCUCAGACACGAAAGCUAAGGUAGCGAACGGGAUUAGAUACCCCCGUAGUC